rnacentral:lncRNA from 1 species
GGAAAGCAAAAAAGAAAGUGUUGGCUCGCUUUCCAUUGGGAUGUUUAGAAAUGUUUACAGUGGCAUUAGCUCUUGGUGCUGCCGGGGAUGCGCAGCCACCAGCGGUGCUACUGGUAGUGGGAAUGAGCUCUUUUCUUCACCUUGAAGCUGAGCAGCCCCAGCCUGGGCUGUGUGCAGGAAGCUGCCAGCUGCAACCACAGUGGGACGGAGCCUCCUGCGAGGAGGCAGCAAUGGGCUGAGCUGUGCCCCAUCCCAGCCGAACGGGGCUGCGGGAGCACAUCCAUAAGCAAGACACAGACCUAAAGACCUUCUUCACUUCUCUAAUCCCAGGCACUUCUCUUUGCAUAGGCAACUUCACGUACAGCAGGAUGAAUGAGCCCCCGAGCAUCCCAAGCACUCCAUCUGCCACAAACCCACUGAACGCCAAGCACUGCACUUUUGCACUGACCUACGUGGAGUCAACGUAAACCCCAUCACCCCAGGCAGGACCACAGAGCCGGCUGCUCAGCCAUGGGGCCAGCACACAGCACCGCAUCCCACGGCCCUCCACAGAGGACGAUGCUCCAUCACUCCCUCAUCCACUUAAUUGAAAGUAUUCAAACAUCUUGCC